UACCUAAUACCUUUAGAUUGAAGAGAGGAUGAACUCUCUUUUUUAUACUUUUGAAUUAAUCAACAAAAAUGUGUACACCCAUACUUAACUCUAAAUUAAGGGAAGUCCACAAACUCUUACUCCUAGAAAGAGAGUUAACACCUCUAGAGGCGAGAUGCCAGCAAGAUACUUGGAAGAUCUCCACCCCUUUUUCCUAACUCAAACAGUCAGAAAUUUGUGAAUUAUUUUGAGUCCACACCCUCAGAAACUAUAAACUUUUUUGACAAGAAAUUGGCCUUCAGAGGCCUUUGAUAAAAGUUGCUACCAUCAGAGAAUUAGAGGUGUAACAAUUUUGGAAACUGUGAUUGGCCUCAUGUGAAAAGGGGUGGGGAUAGGAAACCACCAUAAAAGCCACAAAAUCCUUGAGCUGGCAGUCUGGUGAAGUUGAGUCACAUGGAAAGUGUCUCCGGGAGAUAGUCUUUCUUUUGAGGGAACUUCAUUGGAGACUGCAGCAUGCAUUGUGACUUCAACUUAAUCUAUGACUCCUCGACUACUUGGUUGGGUAAGUGAAAAGCCUGACUCCCUUCCUAGUUUUCUAAGAGUUUGGCUUCCAUCUUGGAGGAGCCUGGGUGAUUAAUCAUUACCAGCCAUUACCAGCCUCCUGGAUGAGGACUAGUACAGCAAUGAACCUUGAUUGAAAUGUGGAGAAAGACUACAACUCACCCUUUGAUUGAAGGCAGUUAACUGUUGCCCUAUUCACUGGAAGAUGGAGGCCAGAAAUUUCUAAAAUUCAACAUUAUGUGGCCCUUCUUUCCACAGAAGUGGCAGGAUGAAGAAAAGAGCAACUUUUAAUCCAGUGGUCAGAGACAGUACCAUUGAUGACACUUUCAUGGAAGAAGAGUAAUAUUCUAUAAUAGAAGAUGGAAACAUUACACAGAAGGUAAUGUGCUUUCUUUGGCUGUCAUGCAGGCUGAUUCCUCUCUGAAACAUCUUUCAGAAAAAAAAAAAUACCAACACUGGGAUGAUAGGUCCAGAACCGAUGUCAAGCGUUUGAUCACCUGAUUCCCGAUCACCUUUCUGCUUUACAUUGUAAGUUUCAUCUAACAUUGAUCCUGGGAUCAUUUGAAAAACCACCAAAAAGACACCUAUGAGGAGCGCUAUAGAGGGUCAGAUAUUUUGAUUCCUUUUGAACUUACUGUACAACCUCUGUGAGACAGUUCUCAUUUGCACUCUACUCAAUGACACCAGUGUGUGAACAUUAA